CAGAGACCCGGUUGUGUGCUGCAGGGGCAGCAGCUGCUAGCACAAAAGCAACUGUCUGAGGAACCUACCCAGGCACACUGGGCCCCAAUAAGCUAGCCCCAACCCCCAAACCCCCUCUUGAGGUGCCAGUGCAGAGCAAGAAAGGGAAAGAGGAAGUGUGAACAGCAGACACUAGCAGGAGCAGAGACUUCCUGAGCAAACCGUCUCCCAGAACCAGCGAAACGAACCCGGAAGACCAGGAACCUGAGCAGGGAGACACCAGGUCCCAUCCUGCGUGACGCUGCCAUGGACUCCAGGCUCAUCUUCUGUGUGGUCCUUUGCCUCCUGGGAGAAGGCCCUGUGGACACUGGAAUUACCCAGACACCAAAAUACCUGGUCGCUGUGGUGGGGAGUAAAAGGAGCCUGACAUGUGAACAACAUCUGGGUCACAAUUCCAUGUAUUGGUACAGACAGGAUGCUGAGAAGUCGCCGAAGCUCAUGUUCUUCUACAACUAUAAGGAGCUCAUUGAAAAUGGGACUGUUCCUAUUCGCUUCACACCUGACUAUCCGGAUAGUUCUCACUUGUACCUUCACGUGGACGCCCUGGAACCGCAUGACACAGCCAUGUAUCUCUGUGCCAGCAGCAAAGGCACAGCCUUGCAGAGCCACUUCCUCCCUGUGCACAAACCUCCUGGGUCUAGCCGUGAGGCUAUGAGGGCAAUGUGUCCACUGGAGCCCUGAGACUUGGUGCGGCAGGAGCUGACA